rnacentral:SRP_RNA from 1 species
UGGCGAGCUAGGCUAGGGGGUUAGCGGUCCCCGGUUCAAAAACCCGCUAUACGUCGGGCCGAAGCUCCGGAGAGGCGUCUGGAACUGUCCGCCGGCUCGGUUCGCGGCGUGGACGCCACGUCCUGCAGGGCCGCAGGUGACAGGUCCUCGGCUGAAAGGCUGGGGCAAACCAUCUUCGCCUGCUGAACCCGGUCAGGGACGGAAGCCCGCAGCCGUAGGCAGGACUGUAGGCGCUUGUGGGGUCGCGGGGCCGAGCGUCUGGCGGGCAGGAAAGGGCGCCCACCCGUGGCGCGUUCGCCA